ACAUCUGUUCAGCAUACAGUGCUGUGCUGGACUGGGGCAUGUACAAUAGCUGGGGACAUGCCAAGCAAAUAGGAGGAGAUGAUCCCCCCAAAGGAGAAUACCCUGUUCAGAAGAAAUCCCCUAAACUUUGUGGCUCCAACUAUCCUCUAAGCAUUGCCUUCAUCGUGGUGAAUGAGUUCUGUGAGCGCUUUUCCUACUAUGGCAUGAGAGCUGUCCUGACGCUAUAUUUCUUAAGCUUCUUUCACUGGGAUGAGAAUCUCUCCACUGCUGUGUACCAUGCCUUUUCUGCACUCUGUUAUUUCACACCUGUUAUUGGAGCCAUCAUGGCAGACUCAUGGCUGGGGAAAUACAAGACGAUCAUCUACCUCUCCAUUGUGUAUGUGGUUGGCCAUCUGAUAAAGUCAGUCGGUGCAAUUCCAUCCCUAGGCAACCAGGUGGUUCAUGUGAUCCUGUCUAUGGUUGGUCUGUUUUUGAUCGCCCUUGGAACGGGAGGUAUCAAGCCCUGUGUCUCUGCAUUUGGUGGGGACCAGUUUGAAGAGGAACAUAUCUCGGAGAGAAGCAAGUUUUUUUCCAUCUUCUAUUUAUCCAUUAAUGCUGGAAGUUUGAUCUCCACGUUUGUAACUCCUGUAUUAAGAGGGGAUGUGAAAUGUUUUGGAGAGGAUUGUUAUGCACUGGCUUUUGGAGUCCCAGCAGCACUGAUGGUGUUGGCGCUUGUUGUGUUCAUUGCUGGAAGCGGACUGUACAGAAAAACACCACCACAAGGGAACGUCUUACUUGAAGUGUGCAAAUGCAUUGGUUUUGCUAUUAAAAAUCGUCUGAGAAACCGCUCCCGUCAGAUCCCAAAGAGAGAUCACUGGCUGGACUGGGCAUCAGAAAAAUACUCGAAACAGCUGAUUGGAGAAGUUAAAAUGGUGACACGUGUUCUCUUCCUCUUCUUACCGCUGCCAGUGUUCUGGGCCCUGUUUGAUCAGCAGGGAUCCAGGUGGACUUUGCAAGCCACAAAAAUGAAUGCUGAUUUUGGAAUAUAUGUCCUUCAGCCUGACCAAAUGCAGUUCUUAAAUCCACUUCUUAUUCUUGUCUUCAUCCCAGUUUUUGACCUUGGGCUCUACCCUCUGGUAAACAUGUGCAAAUUCAAUUUCACACCUAUUAGGAAAAUGGCAACAGGUAUGAUCCUUGCAGGGAUGGCGUUUGGACUUGCAGCCAUUGUAGAAAUCAAAAUAAAUGAAACAGAUAUGCCUCGACUUGUCCCAGGAGAAAGUUUAAUUCGAGUCCUGAAUUUGGUGAAGAGCCCUGUUCAAGUGACAAUUCAAGACCGGGACCUAUUUCAGCAGCCUGCGGAGGCUUUUCAAAACCCAGCUGAGUACUCAAAAUUAAUAUUGAAUGGAGAGCAACAGACAUUUCGCUUCACUCUGGAACAUCAAGGAUCGUCUCUUGCUUUUAACUACACUGUGAAGGAAAAAUCAGUAUACAGCUUAAUUGUUUUUGAGGCAGAAGGAAGCCUAUCAAGCCGCUUAAUUACAGACUUGGAUGCAAAGCCAGAAAACGGUUUGGCAGCUGUUAGAUUCAUUAAUGGUUUGAGCCAAGACAUCAACCUCACCAUUGACAGCAAGCGGUUUGUUGCUGUUCAGAAAAACUACAGUGCUUCUGAGUACUUGCUGCUAGAGCGGGACAAAUAUAAUAAUGGAAAAUGCAUAACUGAAAUGGGAGAAUUCAUACUGGAGCUAGGGCUGCUCGACUUCGGCGCUUCAUACACCAUUGUGAUAACUAACAUUUCUGGAGGUGCUGUUAAAACAUGGAAGUCAGAAGACAUCAAAGCCAACAAUGUCCAUAUGGCUUGGCAGUUACCACAAUACUUAUUAAUAUCUGCUGGGGAGGUGAUGUUCUCCAUUACGGGUCUGGCCUUCUCCUAUUCUCAGUCUCCAGCCAGCAUGAAGUCAGUGCUGCAGGCAGGCUGGCUGCUCACGGUGGCUGUUGGGAAUACCCUUGUGCUUGUUGUUGCCCAGGCUGCACCAAUGGCACAGUGGGCUGAAUUUGUCUUGUUCACUGUUCUCCUCUUUGCUGUGUGCAUUAUUUUCUCCAUCAUGGGAUAUUUCUAUGUCAGUGUGGAUCCAGAGGACCUAGAAGAAAAGGAAGAGAAGAGAGAAAACUCAAGCAGAGGAAACAUGAUUGGUCUCGUUACUCAGAAAACAAAGCUCUGACUCAUCAUGGUUCAAGAAGAUGACUUUUGGAGGAUUCCAGAAGAUGACCACUGGGAAGGCUGCACGAGGCUGGCUUGGAUGCAGCUGGUGUGUGCUGGCUGUGAGGCAGGAGCCUGGCCAAGCACAGCAGCCGAUCCUGCUCUGGAGACCCAGAUGCGGAUGGGCAAGUUAGCCUGGGCUAAAGCGUUAGCCUGGCUAAAACGCUUGCCUUUGUGGAAGAUGCGUUUUUCAUGAGCAGCAAUCUGGAUGGUAUGGCAAAAACCAGCAUACAGACCUGCAUUCGUGGGUGUGCAGUGACCAGAGGAGGAGGCAGCUCUGCUCCUGGUGAUACCCCCUGCAUCUAUGUCAGCCACCACCUUGGCUUCCCCUUGGGAUGGAAGAAACAGCUUGAAGGAGUAUUACAGAUGGAGGUUGUCCUGAGCACCUGCACUUUCACUAUAAAAUAAAUAAAUGACCUUGCCUGCUCGCAGGCAGAUGGUCCAUCUGUCUUCUACUAAAACUUUGAUAGUGCCAUGAAGAAUCCUUCAGAAGUAAUGGUACCAGUAUAGUCCUUUACAUCCCUAUGGGAGGACUUCUUCUGCCUUUCUUUGCGCCAUCCUUUCGUAUAUGCUGGUUCAAGCCAAAGGACUUGUGCUCGGUUUCUCACAGCCCACAGCACUCCUCAAGUGCCUGUAAUGCAGGCUCGAGUUCCCUCUUCUGUUUGAGCUGAAAACAAUUAAAAGCCAUUGGUUGCUCCAGAACUAGCUGGUUUUGUCUAGUAAAGUUAUUUUUUUUAGCUUUUACUGUGUUCACAUCUGUUACUCACUGCUAUGGAGUGAAACACUGUUCCAGUCUUUUCUUGUCAAUCCUCACUUUUCUGGGGAAAGCUGGGCUUUUAGCUUUUGCAUAAAAAACUUGAUCUUUGCUGCCUUUAGUCCUAAUGCUGUUCAUUGCUUGAACAGCAAGGAUUGUCAUCCCUUGAAGCCAGGGGUUUGGGCUCCUUCUUUUGUGUUUUUGCUUCUGUCUGCCCAGCUUUUCUUAGCUAGGAUCACUAUAUUGCAGCUCCUGGAGUCCACUGACCUGAGAAGGAGCAGAGAAGUCAUCUUGGUGGUUUUAAAAGAUGCACCUAGACUGAACCUGCUCAACUCUGAAAGUUUUGGGACACUUUUCAGCUUAUUACAGGAAGAGCAGGGACCUCUCCUUGUAAAGGUGUGCUCUCAUGCCCACUGCAUCCUGCUCUGGCUGAAGAGGGGGUGCUGCCAGGUCAGAGCAGCUCAGCCAUCCCCAGUACUGUGCUUCUGCUCUCCUCUGGCCCUGCAUUUCCUAGCUCGAAUUUAUCCACUCUGGUCCUCUCGCUGGUAGGUCUCUCUCAGCAGUGGUGUUCACUCUGAGAGAGCCGUCGCCUCCAGCAAUUUAUUUGCCAAGUCUUAUCAUGUUACUUGUGAUGACACUCAUCAAGCGCUUUGUUUUGCCUCUCCAGCCUCCACCGCUGUUCCAUGUUUCUGCUGUGGUUUCUCUUGAUUCAGACUGUCAAGCUCUUGCCAGUUUUGUCUUCCUUGUCUUGGCUUCCCAUUAUCGGUGCUGUUCUUGGAGUCCAAAUGCCCUUCACAUCGUGGAUCUGCAGGCUGAGUAAACUUAGCAAAUCAUUAGGGCGGACUUUAACUGCUCCUGUCUCCAUCAAAGACUGGGAUUAAAUUAGAUCUCUUUGAUAAACUGAGCUGAUUGGCCAAUUUGGAUUGCACAUGUGGUAUUAUGGGCCUCACAGGGCUUAUGAUUAAAAGAUGUAAGAGAAUGCAAUUAUUUAGAGAGCUACCAGGAGAUCGUUGUAACUCCCUAGUUACCUUUUUAUCAGAACAGAAGAAGAGCCCAGUUCUGCAGGGUGGCAGGCAGCCCUGGGGAAGCGACUGCAAGCCUCUGACUACUGAGGGAGGCCAGAGUCAUGUUUGUUUCCUGCAGGUUUUGAUGUAUGUGAUAAUACUGGGGCUGGGGAGAGGCAGAAUAUCACUCUGACCAUUUCUGUCCCCAAGGCACCUGCUGCAGGAGAGAAAACUUUCAUACAGGUGGCUUCUAUAUCUCUUUCUACGGUUCCUUGGGGUUUCCCCCCAAGAAACUAUGGUUGUCUUUGCAGGAAGACAGAGCUCAGCUGGAUUUCUUGGCUGGAUUUUAAUCAAAUUCUGAUCUGCACAGGGAACUCAGUGCAAUCUAGGCUGACUCUCUGCACCAAAUCCUCAAGCCUGGGGCUGGAUCCUGACCCAGCAGGAAAAACCCUGUUAGCUUAGGCUCUGCAUCAAGUGCUGAAGAUGUGAAAUGUCUGACUAGACACAAAUACAAUUUUGCCUGUUUUUUCUCUAAGGUUACUGAGUCAGAGCUGGAUGGCAUAUGUAAUUAUAGUAGGGCUAUUCUUCUCUCUGUCUUUUUUUUUUUUUUUUUUUUUAAGAAACAUUCAUGCUGUGUUUUAAUUACAACAUUUAGAAUACGCCCAAAAAGCUUGAGCUCAAAUUGAUCUUGUUUUUCAGCCAGGAAGCUUGUUUUUCAUCUGUUAUAAUAAUAAAUGUGCUAUUGAUAAUAGUUUAGGUGCAAUACAGCAAAGCUUUGUGUUAUGCAUCAGCUCUGGAGGGCCAACGUUUUCUUAUUAUCCAUUAUUGAUAUGACAGUUUGCAAAUAUUUAACAAACAAAUUACCAGGUUUUCCUUGUUCCCCUCUUGGUUCGCAAUCUCAGUCUUUUUGACAGCUGAAUUCAGGAUUAAUGAUGAUCUCGUUUAAGACGAUUGUUUGCCAGCAGGUUUAUUCUCUAAACCUACAAGUGCGGCAGGAGAACUAGCACUGGCACUUUGAAUUAAAUCUCAUCCUUGAAGCAAUUUUUUUAGCUUUAUUCCCUCCAAUUCUCCUAAGUAGAAAUCGGAUUUGCCUGGUGAAGUACUUAGGCUUGUUAUUAAUUUCUUAGUUUAUGUAGUCAUUUUAAAUAUAGAAGCUUAACUUGAAAGGCUGGUGGAAGCAGCUUUUUUUUCUUUCCCAGCCCUGAGCUUGUUUGGGUCUGUUAGGAUUGAAAGUGCAUUAAGAGACAGGUCAUCUUUGAGCACAGGUGUGGGAGCAAGGAGAGCACCUUGAGCCUCCACAAAAAAGAGCGAUUCAGAAGGACAUGCUUGACUUGGUCCUCGGUAAAGCACUGGAGGUGGCAUUGGGAAACAUUCUGUCCAGGUCAUUGGACUGGUAAAACACAUCCAUUCCUGCAGCAGCUUUCUGCCCACCUCUCCUCCAGGUCUGAGCGCAGGGUGAAGGGUGUGAAAUGGGCUGAAGCACCACCAUCUGCCUGGGCAGGUUGUUUCUGGUGUAGAUGGCUGCCGGUGAAGCAAAGAGAGUGCUUGGGAAAUCUUGAUGCAUCCCCCAGAGUCGAAGCAAGGUCUAGUUAAUCAGUGGGGAAGCUGUCGCAGAGGCAGGGGCAUCUUCUAGGGAAAAAUGCAGCACCAGAACAGAGAAACAAAGACAGCAUGACGCACCCUCUUUGGAGCACGUGCUGGGCACUGGGCCAUUUCUGCCCUGUGGUUUCUGACCGUGGACUUUGCGUACACAAUACAGGAAUUCACUAAUGUGCAAGCCAGGCUUUGGUGAUGAAAAGAGAAUUUGUUCUCAAGUAAAAUCACCUUUUGUUAGCAAAAAAUCUGUGAGUUGGGUCCCCGAAGGGAACGCCGUUUGAAAGUCACAGAUGAUUGAAAGAUAACACAGUCGAUGGGGAGUGGGUGGUUGUUUUUUGUUGGUUUUUUUGUUUGUUUUCUUGCCUUUUGGGUUUGGAAAGCGGGAUGCUGCACAUCAGUUUCUUGACCUGGCCACAGUGAUUUUGUUUUAAUGCAAGAGAAUCUGAGGCUAUCUUUACAAAGAGGAGUUCCUGGGAGUUCUGAAAUAUCAAAUGUCACACCAGCAAAAGUGACUACAGUUGGCAACUCCGACUAUAGCGUAUCACAUUGGUUUUAAGCAAAAAUAAGCCCAAUCAAACAAGACUUGAUGGAACAGAAUUAAAGCGGGCAAGGCAUGCAGCUUGGCUUGAAAUAAUGUGUUAAUAGAGAGAGCGUUUCUUCAUUACUUUUUAUUUGAUUAGCAGUAAAACCACAGAAUCAUGCUAAAUGCAGUUUCUGCGUGCUCUCUGCUAAUUGCCCAUCCCCGUUUGCAAUGUAAGCACUCAUUACUCACAUCCCUUGGAACUAGCCGUGGCCCAUGUGGAGAGGGGCACAGCGGUGUAUUUCAGCGUGUCUGCAUAUAUGUUUUCAGUCCUGGAAUAAUCCCCAUUAUAUGGACAUUUUAGCCUGGUAUCUAAGUCUUCAUCCCACUUCUUUUUAAUGCUUGCUUAACACUUUUCCAGUUGGUUGAUGCAGCAUCAGUCAUGGUAAUAUACCGGCUAUGAUAUUCCAGUUAAUUCUACCAAGGAGCAGGGUGCCUUAGGCACUGUUUCAUGCUAAGAACUGAGCAUGGGCAUUUUCUCUGUGGUGCCCAGGGGGAAUUGGCUGACCACAGCAGCUUGCAGAUGUGCCGGGCAGCAGCAAGAAACUUCCCAUCAUUCAAUCCCCAAGCAUCUCCCAGCCUGGGAACACAGCUAUCGAUGUGGUUAUUUUUGCAGCCUUUUUCUGCUGUUGGGGGUUAAGGCUUUGAGAAAAAUCAGCCUUACGCACAAGUUGGUGAAGUGGCACUACCAACUGGAUGCACCAAGGACAAACCAGCUCCAAUUACCUGCUUUUGCCUAUGCUAAACGCCAUGUAGUACAAAUCAAUGAGCCACAAGGAACCAAACUAUUAAGCUGCUGCUCUUAACAAUCAUUAAUUAUGAAGGUACCAUCACUCGUGUUUGUAAUCUAUGAACUGUCCUGUGCUAACUGAUUUAUUUUUAUUUAGUUUAAUGAGUAGUGAUGGUGAGGCUGCAAACAGUAUUGGUAAGCAAUUCCUGCAGGGGACGAGUCCUGCAGGUGAGCUGGUGAAACCUCCUUUUCACGAGACAAGGCCAGCACAGAGACUGCGCAGCUACAGAUUUGCAGUUCCCCCAUCCUCCUGACCACUCUGCCCAGUCUCUGGGAAAACCCCAACACGAAUGUGUCCUGCUUAGAUGGUCAGGCAAAUAUUUGAUACUUUAAUACUCAAUUUAAGGAGAAGCUUUCAGGCCAGGAGGAUGUCAUUCCAAAGACCUUCUCUGGCAUGUUGAACACCCAAAAACCUUCCUGAGAUCCAUCAGUCUGGGCACUAAUUUCCCCUCUGCCCCAGGCAUCACUUAGAAUAAACACAUUAGAGAUGUGGCAGCGCAGCGAAAGGGGCUCUUAUCCCACUCCCAGGUCAAAGGCAGCAGAUACGAGGCAAACCUCAUACAUCUUCUGGCCUCCCCCAAUUCAUCCUGUUGGCGUUUGGCCCUCUUUAUAUAGCUCUGCCCUUUCCUGUCACUGGGAAGGGCAGAAGAGUGGGUCAGAAGAGGAAAAAUCCUCCAAAGUUGCUUAUCCUACCAGGGUCACUUUCUGCCAAGGAUGGCCAUGGUCUGGAGACCAAGUUACCAAUGGUACUUGCUAACAGAGCACCUGGGACAGUCUUGCACUAUGUUCUCCUGUAACUUCUUUCUGGACAGAUGUCUCCCAGCUGGUCAGUCUCCUCAGAUGUGCACAGGAGUCCAUGCAUGUGAUCGGAUCACUGAUAGAUGCUCUGCAGCCAUCUGGAUGUAGGGAGGAAAUGACAAAUAUACCCCCACCAACCACACCUUCCAUGAGAUAUUGAUGAACGAGAUCUUUAUUGGCUGCAGGGCUAAUUAAAUAGAAGUUGCAUCAGCUUCUGGCUGACAGGCUCUAAUUGCUCCUGAGCAGAUUUUGAGAGGGCCAGAUGAAUAGGAAAAUAAAAGGAAAGACUGUGGAUUGGAUCCAAGGAUGUAUCUGACUGCGCCAUGCUUCAGAUGAGCUGGAGUUCUGUCCUACCUUUCCCUGGGGAAUGGGGACAAGGCGGGGGGUUCCUGUGCUGUGAGAGCACACAGGGAGGUAAUGUCAGAAAAAGACAAAACAAACAUAGAUAUCAAAAAGGAGACAACACUAUGCUCAUUUUAAACAAGAAUUUCUGUAGCCUUAUCUUUGCCUUGGUCUCUGGCUUCAGCCUCAAGCUGCUGGUGCACAUUACUCUGCGCUCCUGUUUCUGGUUUGUCCUGCAGGACUAAUGGCUGUUGCCAAGGGCUGAACUGUCUUGGAUGCUCUGGCACCAGGUAAAUCCCUGAGCCUUGAGGUAUUUUUCCUCCUGUUGCCUUAAAGGCCAAAGGCUGUAAACGGGGUUUCAGAUGCCAAGCAGCCCCUGCAGCUGAGACCAACCCUCUGGAGUCCUGCUGAGGGCUUAGGAGAAGGAUGCUGCUCUCCAGCAAGAAGGAUGGGAGCUUGAGCAUGGCUCUUUGAAUACAAGAGGUGCUGCGUGAGUGCUCCGUGUUGUGUGCCAGAUGCCAGCGAGGGGUGCAAAGCCCUCUCAGCCUCAGUCCUCCAGGCUCGUGCCUAAACCUUGAAAUGGUGAGUGCGGAUGGUUCAACAGGAGAGUCACCAAAUGGAGAAGUUGGUCAGUACCCAGGUUUUGGGUUGGUCAAGGACAGAGCUGGACCUGGUACACAACAGAUCCUGGCAUUGAAAAAAAUUAACAGAAAUUAAUGGCCAAGCCCUUAGUUACUUCAUUGUUGUCAUGUUUUCCCCAGUGGACUCUGUGGGCUAUAUCUGGGCACAUACAGCCUAAGAGGCUUGUCUCAUGUUUAAUUUAUGGGGUGAUGAAUGAGUUCUUAGCAUACAAUGCAUUUAAUUCCAUUUUGGCCUGAUUUAUAAUGUGAUGUGAACUGCAUGUGAAGUUUUUAAUUCAGUAGGUGGUGACUCUGAUCCAGUAUAUGGAGUGUGACGGAAGAAGUGAUAAAUUUGAUUCCAAAGGUGAUGCAUCAAUUUCAGUGUGAAGUGCAUCAAAUUUAUCACACGGGACAUUGGUUUCAGUGUGUGACACCUCAGUGACGGCAGCACCAGGGCAGUUAAGCAGGAUGCCUUCACUGUAUCACCAGUGGUCCCCACGUCCACCACCUCCCCAGAGGAAAAUGGCCCUUGCUGUUGGUCUUUUAUUAGACCUUGCAGGACAUGAAGAAAGACAGUAAAAUGGCUCAUCAGGUGCUGGUCAAAAUAUUUGUCUUCACUUUAUUACGUGCUCCAGGUAAGAGUUUCUGAUAUCUCACCGAAUUUCAGGUGUCAGGAAGAUGCUGCUGCUCCUGGGAACCUCAGCACCAGCCAGCAAAUUGGCCUCAUUUUCUGUGUCCAUUUCAUGACUCAAUAUCUUUGCUUUUAACUUAAUUUAUGACCAAUCCACAUUGUUGAAUAAGGAUGUGGAAUUUGAGUCCUCUCCAGGAGGGAGAGACUUUAACAUUGGGCUCUAUCCAUAACCUUUGAAGGGUAUUUAAAAGACCCAGAGAAGACACCUCCUCUUCUCCCUCACUACACACCGGGACUGCUUUUGUGAUAGGACAUCCCAGCUGAAAGAAACCCACAUCUUGACUGGGGGAACCUAAUGGCAUUCAAGCAGCAGCUGUUUGGGCGGAUGUGACUUGGCGCACACAAGAGGACCAGCCUGAGGCGUGCUGGGCGCUGAGGGGGUUCCCAGUACCAGCGAUACCGAACCUCUUCCCCAUCCUCAUGCCCUGUGAACACCAGUGCUGCUGAAUCCAGCCCUGGCGCAGUGGAGCGUGGCGAGACGGUAGCACAGCCGAGAAAGACGUGAGGGCUGAUGAAGGGAUUUGGUGACAAGCUGAGCGGGAAGUAAUUACUUUUCUCCUUUUCUCCUCCUCUCAUUGCCUCAGCCUCUGCGGCAGUGAGGAUAAAUGCCAUAUAUUAGCAGCAGUGAGCGGCAGAUUCACUGAGCUGCAAUUUAUAACGCGGUUCUCCCUAAAGCCUCAUUGGAGGGCAUUAUGAAGUUAGAUUUGUAAGAGGGGAUAAAAUGAUGAGAGGGUCACUCUGGAAAAGCAUUUGGAAAGCUUCAGAAAAGGAGAUAUUUUCUUCUCUCCAAGCCAGUUAUGUCUCAUUGAGCCAACCCCAGAGGAGCUCCGAGGGAGGGUUGGCGCUCAUAUACCAGAUAUUAAAUUUAAUCCAGUGAGAAGGAGCAGAUGUGGAUGUGCCAGGCCUGUCUGCCACCAUGUCUAAUGCAGAAAGAUGGCUGAAAGAUCUGCCAUCAAAAUGUUUUGAUUUUUCUUGAGGAAAAAAUAGAAAGCUUCUACUGAAAAAAACCCUUGAACCCCUGAGGCAGAAAACUUAUGGCUGAGAAAACUUUGUCUUCAGACUGUUGGCAAAGGGUUGCUGCUGCCAAAGGGGAUAAAGAGGAGGAUGUUUUUCAUCAGCUAUGUUAAUCUGAUCUAUGCCUGCAUGCAGGCUCAAAAAAUUAAACAGACCCCAAUAUGCUGAUGACCCAAACCCUAUUACAGUUUCCAACAAAGGACUCUCAGCUGUCUGGAUGGAGAGAGAGACAGGGGAGGGCUUUUGCUUAUAAUAUCCCCCCGGUGAAGGGUGUGAAGCAUUGGGGACAGGCACUGUGCUCAUGUGCCUCUGGUCUGCCUGGAGAGAGCUGUUUGUUGGCCCAGUUUGUGCUCUGGGCUCUGAAAACCGCUAUAGAAAACAGGUCCUGCUGUUGCUGACAGUCUGGUUCCCACAGGGAGAGGAAGCUUUAAUCCUGUCCUCCACUGUCCAAAAGGGUUAAAAAACACCUGGGCAUACUUUAAGCGGUUUAAAAAGGAAGAGGAAUAGCUAAAGCCCACCCCUUUCAAUAGCAAAAAUGGUCAUGAAUCUGACCUACUUCAACACCACCUUGCAAACUACUCUGUUUAUGAUCAGGGUAAAAUCCCUUGGGUCUGGGAAGUCCCCGUGCCUGCUCCUCCAUCCCCCAAACACCCCACUGAAGGGAGGUGUGUGCCCCGCUGUGCCUUUGCCAGGGAGGCAAGGUGGACUUGGGAUGCUCCCACUGCUGCCCCUUACAAUGAAUCUCAGGGGCUGAGACUGCUGAGAACCACGACUGGGAGGUGGGCGGUGAGGAGCGUUCCAGGCAGAUGAGGUGGAUUCUGCUCCCACAUCCCGGCUUCAGGGUGGCUCCCUGAGACCCCAGCACAAACCCUCCCAUAGCACCAUGCAGCUGCCUUGGGGAUCUUCCUGGCUGCCAGAACAUCUCUCGGUUGUGGAGAGAAGCAUGUGAUUUACGUCUUUGUUUACUUGUUUUGCAUGGGAGACAAGGCUGCAGGUUUAUAAAGUUGAACAACCACCUUAGCAGAGUGCAGUAGGUCCCAUGAAUCAAUCACCUUCUCUGGAGCAUUAACCAGUCACCAGGGAACAGCUGUUUUAUGACAGAUUUUGUGUUAUUCUGGAGUCUCCAGGACCAGAGACUCAGAUGGUGUAACUUGACCUCACUCUCCAAAUCCAGGUGAUUUACAUGAGUUACCUGAUGCUGCGAUGGGUUACUGCAAGUAUUCUCAAUCAAAUAGUUUAAAAAUUUUAUUUGGGCUAAUUUUUACUGAAGGAGGGUUCAUAUAUUUCUUCAUGAUGUUUUAAAGUGCAUUUGACAAAGCACUAAUUUGCCUCAGGUCAAACUGUAUGCCCUAAACUAAUGCAUCUCUCACUCCAAAAUAACUCCAGGCCGAAGCAUUAGCUGAAAGAAGGUCCCUCUCCAGCAGUAUGUACUUUGGAGGCUACUGGUUGCAUUGAGCCAGGCCUCCUACGGGCUGAAUUUCCUCUCAUUUCCACUGUUGAGGCUGUCAGCAGAUAUCAGGCGUUUCCUUCAAACGCUUUGUCCAUCAUCAGCUUGAGAAUGGUGUCCUGCUGCCUGGAGACAGGGUGAGCAAGUGGCUCAUCCCAAAGUGUUGUCCUCUAACUGUGGGGAACAAAGCAUCGUUACUUCAAGAUCUGCUCUGCCCUGGUCCUCUGUGGCGAUUCUAUUUUCCACAUGAAUGCUGGCGGUGAGCUCAUUCCCCCACGUCUUGGGGCCAGCAGCAUGCCUAUGCCUCAUUCCUGUUGUGGAACCUGCCCGUGUAACCCUGGGAAUUCACACUCAGCUUAAAAUUACCCAAAUCCACAAGUUUUUGGAGGACGGUACUACUAAUGGGGACACUCUGGGUGCCUUUGCUCCUAUCAGAGGCUGCAUGAGCCAUGGUGGCUCUUUUCAGGCUAUCAGAAGCAAAGGGGCAGCAGCAACGCCAGGGAGAAGCAGGUUCAGAAGGACAAGUCAAAGCACGACUUUUAGCUUGGGGAAUUAUAAAUGAACAGAAGAACCCACAGCACCGUAAUGAAACGUUCCUUAAAUCCUUUGUUUUUAUUUGGGAUGAUAAAGGAAAAUCAUUAGGGCUCAAUUAGUCAUGAAAGAUGAGGGUCCUUCUGCAUUGUAUGGGCUUGAGAAAGUGACUCGUGUUCAAGAGCACAUCUCCCCUUUCCAGUGUAGGAUCAUUAAAUAUCAAAGACUUUAUUUGUGCAAUUUGCAUUGCCUAUUGCGCCCUUGCAUGGGAUGAAAACCCUGCAGUGAUAAUUGAUGUACGUGGUUUUAAAGGCACUCGGCUCUCUGCCUCACAGAGCUUAAAACAUGCAGAGAAAUGAGGAGGAAGAUCUGAACAGCAGAGGCUGAAGGUGCCGCUUCAGCAGUGCAGCCAUAAAAGAGAAAAGGGAAAGGGAGAGGAGUGACAGAUGAGUUUAUGUGACCCUGAGAUGGGAGAUAAGGGUCUUGGGUGUAUUGCCUUUCCCUUGGGGAUAGAGAGGAGAGGAUGGGGCAGGUGACAGCCACCGCUGGUCCCAGUACGUCACUGGGAUGAACUGGUGUCCCCUUUCAGCUGUGCUGGAGGGAAUCUUUGCUGCCGAAGGCCAUGCACAAGUACAGAGGCCUUUAAAUAUUUAUAAAGCAGUCACUGAUGCUGAGGUGAUGGGCAAGAGAGACUCCAGACUGGGAAGGUUCUCAAGGCUGUUUGCAGGCUGGCCCUGCUCUGAGCCCUUGCUAUGCGACUGGUGAGACCCUCGGUGGUGCCAGCACAGGGCUGUGGGUCAGGCUGAGCAGACAGAGGACACCCCAAGAGGAAAUAAAGUAAAUCCUCCAUUAAAAACCCCACAAUGGAACAACCUGCCUGAGCCCCUCUUUCUCCCCAGGCGUGGUUGUGCUGCACGCAGGCUGUGAUCUGAUUUUGUCACCAAGGGAAAUGUGAAGUG